GCUAGCGGCCGGGGGCGCGGGCUCGCGCAGGGCGGGGGAGGGUCCCUGGGCGUCCGGCCGCGCUGGCGGAGUGAAGGAUGGGGAGAGGCCGGCACACAGCCGCACCGUCCGGCCCGGACCCGGAGUUUGGGGAGGCGCCCAGGGAGAGCCACCGGACCAAGGCAGGUCCCGAAGCCCAGCCAGUCUACCAGGAGCCCAGUGGACUGCGUUCUGCUUCGUGGGCGUGUCCCCGGGAACAGAGAGCGAGGAGCAGGAAGCAGGGCCGGCCCUCCUGUCUGCAAGCCUUCCACCGUGAAUCCGCUGUGGUUUCAUUUCCUUCCUGAACCCAGCUGUGAUUUCCUCUUUUUUCUUUGUUGUUGGCAGCGUUUUAAGUGGAUCCCUGCGUAUGUAGAUUUCGGGAUCCUUUCGGUCCUAAGUGACCGAAAGCUAAUUCAAACCAGCUCUCCCAACUGGGACAUUCAUGUGCUUGAGCUGCUGUGAAGUUAGGAUCGUCGUCUUCGCCUUCUUUCUCUUUCCUUCCGGGCCAGCGUGGUGCGGGGCACACCCCCACCUGGCCGGCCCGAGGAUGUGGCCCUAAUGUCUGUUGACCUGAGCGGGGGUCAGGGCCCCCCCCCCCCCCGAGGUGGAGCUGGGUGAGUGCAGGGCGGAGCUGCUGCUUGCCCGAAGGGAAGGGACUCUGUUGGGAACAGAAGAAUGACAGGUGGAGGCUGGCAGGGAAACCAGAGAGGGGGUGGGGAGGGGAGUCGGUCUGGAGAGGUCCGAGCUGGCUGCUCUCCCCAGUCUCAAGACAGUGGAGGGAGGAGAGUCCUCUUCUACCGCUCCACUCUCUGGAAGGUUCUGCCCUUGACUACUGUUCUCCUGCCAAGGCCAUGCUCACCUUUGGUAGCAGCUGAGGUAGGGGCCCCACUCAUUCCAGCAGCCGGUCCUGGGCCUCCCCGCUCCCUGGCAGCUGGCCAGGCGGUGAGCAGUGGGGGAGGGAAACCUGCCCCAAGUGGAAAUGAGCGAGCUUCGCACCAAGUAUCACCCAGAAAGCCAGCCGGGCUGAUGGCAGGCGCAGAGUGAGACACGGGCGAGGCGGUCCCGUCAAGGCCUGGGGGCCUGCACCCUGCCUGGUGGCCUCUCCGAGCCUCCAGACUCCGGAAGGGUUUCCAGCAUCGACACGCCCAGUCCUCCAGCUGUGAGGAGGGGAUCUCAGCACCCCCCCAACCCCCCCCCACCCCCGGCCGGAGACCAGCAGGGUUCUGUGGGGGUUUUCUUACUUGCAAGGAAGCGCCUUCAAACGGUGAUGGUGUCUGGGCGGAGGCUGAGGACCGAGGGGAGGACCCCAGGGCCUAAGUGGUGGAUGAGGUUGCAUGCGGGCAGGGUACUGACAGGUGUGCCGCGGCGCCAGCUCCCAGGACUGAGGGGGCCCCCUUGUCUUGGCGCCUCUUUAUUUUGGAGCCCUUUAUAAACCCCACCUCAUUCCUUCUCCCUUUAAUUCAGAGCGUGUUGGGGGCUGUGGGAUCCAGCCCCUGGCCAGGGGCUUGGCACUCAGGGCAGCUGGGAAGUCAUCACCCUGUCCCGGGGUCUGGCCCACCCUCUCCAACACCGGCAAGAGGAAGGCAUUGUCACGAUGGAGAAGUCGGAGGGGACCAGCGGCAGCCAAGAUGGGUGGGCCCAGCACCCCCAGAAUAGGGUGGUGGUCUUCCUGCCCCUGGGGCAGGCCCAGGGGGCAGCUGGUGUCCCUGAGGAAACAGGUGCGCCGGCGCUCCGUUUCCCAUCACUUCUGAUCAUCGGUCCUCACCUCUGCGGUCUGCGCCACCGGGGAGGCGUGUAGCCAUGGCGAUCUUGAGCACAGAGCUCUGAACCAGAGGGCUCCCCCAUCCCCCGCCCCGCCUCCGCCCUGCGCACAGGCACCGGGCCCUUGCACAUGCAGGGUGCCGGGUUGCCGUCGGAGGCAGGAACCUGACCGUGUGGCCCUGUGGACACCGCCGACCCCGGCUCGGCAGACCCCAGCCUGGGCGGCCCAGGAGACCAGGGCUGCGAGCAGAAUAAAAGCGCGUCUCUUCAUCA